rnacentral:rRNA from 1 species
UACGAGGGGGGCAAGCGUUGUUCGGAAUUAUUGGGCGUAAAGGGUGCGUAGGCGGUCUGACAAGUCUGAUGUGAAAUCUAUGGGCUCAACCCAUAGCCUGCAUCGGAAACUGUCGGGCUUGAGUAUGGGGAGAGGUGAGUGGAAUUUCCGGUGUAGCGGUGAAAUGCGUAGAUAUCGGAAGGAACACCAGUGGCGAAAGCGGCUUCCUGGUCCAGCACCGACGUCAGGCACGAAAGCGUGGGGAGCAAACAGG